rnacentral:rRNA from 1 species
GAGUGAACGCUGGCGGUAGGCCUAACACAUGCAAGUCGAACGGCAGCCCAGUAAGAGCUUGCUCUUACGGGUGGCGAGUGGCGGACGGGUGAGGAAUACGUCGGAAUCUACUUUUUCGUGGGGGAUAACGUAGGGAAACUUACGCUAAUACCGCAUACGACCUACGGGUGAAAGCAGGGGAUCUUCGGACCUUGCGCGAUUGAAUGAGCCGAUGUCGGAUUAGCUAGUUGGCGGGGUAAAGGCCCACCAAGGCGACGAUCCGUAGCUGGUCUGAGAGGAUGAUCAGCCACACUGGAACUGAGACACGGUCCAGACUCCUACGGGAGGCAGCAGUGGGGAAUAUUGGACAAUGGGCGCAAGCCUGAUCCAGCCAUACCGCGUGGGUGAAGAAGGCCUUCGGGUUGUAAAGCCCUUUUGUUGGGAAAGAAAAGCAGCAGGUUAAUACCCCGCUGUUCUGACGGUACCCAAAGAAUAAGCACCGGCUAACUUCGUG